GCAGGGGUUGGGGAGUGGUUAAACCCACCUGUCUGUAAAACAGGCGCUUUAUGCUUCACAGGUUCGAAUCCUGUCCCCUGCACCA
rnacentral:tRNA from 3 species